CAGCAGCCGCGGUAAUACGUAGGUGGCAGGCGUUGUCCGGAAUUAUUGGGCGUAAAGGGCUCGCAGGCGGUUUCUUAAGUCUGGUGUGAAAGCCCCAGGCUCAACCGGGGAGGGUCAUUGGAAACUGGGAAACUUGAGUGCAGAAGAGGAGAGUGGAAUUCCACGUGUAGCGGUGAAAUGCGUAGAGAUGUGGAGGAACACCAGUGGCGAAGGCGACUCUCUGGUCUGUAACUGACGCUGAGGAGCGAAAGCGUGGGGAGCGAACAGGAUUAGAGACCCCCGUAGUCCCUGUCUCUUAUAC
rnacentral:rRNA from 1 species